rnacentral:lncRNA from 1 species
UGGGAAGUAUAAUUAUCAGGAAAAUGUAUGUGAGCUCACUUCAUUCUAUUUGGCAAUCAUAGGUUGUGCCUUGAUCGAAAGUGUUUGGGGUUUGCUUGAAUUUCUGCGAAACAUUUGCAUACUUAAUUUAAAGAAAGAGAAAAGGCAAAAAAAAUCCGCAUAGGUUAGUUUGUCAAGAAAAAAAAUUAUUAUAGCUCGUAUUUUCAUUGUAACAUCCGUAUGUCUCUCUUAUGUCAAAUCCCCCUAGCGCCGCACUCAACUAUAUGAUGUGACAUUGCAUGGAUUCCACGUACAAUUCUUUUCGAAGAUAACUAAAAUUUAACUAGCUGAGGUGUUUGGAUCCAUCGAUACCCUUCAUUAAUUGCUGUACAGUGUCAGUGGGAAAUUCACGUGAACUGGUAGGGUUAUUUUGGUCUUUUAGCUCGUUUAGCUGGGUGC